rnacentral:rRNA from 1 species
AUUGAACGCUGGCGGCAGGCCUAACACAUGCAAGUCGAACGAGUGGCGGACGGGUGAGUACUGUCUGGGAAACUGCCUGAUGGAGGGGGAUAACUACUGGAAACGGUAGCUAAUACCGCAUACCAUCAGAUGUGCCCAGAUGGGAUUAGCGAGUUGGUGGGGUAACGGCUCACCAAGGCGACGAUUCCUAGCUGGUCUGAGAGGAUGUCCAGCCACACUGGCACUGAGACACGGGCCAGACUCCGACGGGAGGCAGCAGUUGGGAAUAUUGCACAAUGGGCGAAAGCCUGAUGCAGCCAGGCCGCGUGUAAGAAGAAGGCCUUCGGGUUGUAAAGGACUUUCAGCGGGGAGGCGUUACCCGCAGAAGAAGCACCGGAUAACUCCGUGCCAGCGGCCGCGGUAAUAC